rnacentral:rRNA from 1 species
CCAUAUAGGGGGGUUCAUUAUGCAUGCGAGUCGAACGGUAUAUCGAAAGAUAUAUAGUGGCAAACGGCUGAGUAACACGUAAGUAACCUGUCCUUAAGUGGGGAAUAAUCCGCCGAAAGGUGGACUAAUACCGCAUGUGGUAAUAGAGGUAGGACUUUAUUACUAAAGCUUUCGGGCGCUUGAGGAGGGGCUUGCGACCUAUCAGGUAGUUGGUGGGGUAACGGCCCACCAAGCCAAUGACGGGUAGCUGGUCUGAGAGGACGUCCAGCCAGACGGGGACUGAGACACGGCCCCGACUCCUACGGGAGGCAGCAGCAGGGAGUUUUGCGCAAUGGGCGAAAGCCUGACGCAGCAACGCCGCGUGAGGGAUGAAGGCCUUCGGGUUGUAAACCUCUUUUAUCAGGGAAGAAUAAUGACGGUACCUGGUGAAUAAGUCACGGCUAACUACGUGCCAGCAGCUGCGGUAAUACGUAGGUGGCAAGCGUUAUCCGGAUUCACUGGGCGUAAAGAGCGCGUAGGUGGUCCUUCAAGUCAGAUGUUAAAUCUCCUGGCUUAACUGGGAGCUGUCAUCUGAUACUGCUGGACUUGAGGGCGGUAGAGGGAGGUGGAAUUCCCGGUGUAGUGGUGAAAUGCGUAGAUAUCGGGAGGAACACCAGUGGCGAAAGCGGCCUCCUAGGCCGUUCCUGACACUGAGGCGCGAAAGCGUGGGGAGCGAACAGGAUCAGAUACCCUGGUAGUCCACGCCCUAAACUGUGGAAACUAGGUACAGGGAGUAUCGACCCUUCCUGCGCCGUAGCUAACGCGUUAAGUUUCCCGCCUGGGGACUACGGUCGCAAGACUAAAACUCAAAGGAAUUGACGG